AUUGAACGCUGGCGGAAUGCUUUACACAUGCAAGUCGAACGGCAGCACGGACUUCGGUCUGGUGGCGAGUGGCGAACGGGUGAGUAAUGUAUCGGAACGUGCCCAGUCGUGGGGGAUAACGUAGUGAAAAUUACGCUAUACCGCAUACGAUCUAUGGAUGAAAGCGGGGGAUCGCAAGAUCCCGCGCGAUUGGAGCGGCCGAUAUCAGAUUAGGUAGUUGGUGGGGUAAAGGCCCACCAAGCCAACGAUCUGUAGCUGGUCUGAGAGGACGACCAGCCACACUGGAACUGAGACACGGUCCAGACUCCUACGGGAGGCAGCAGUGGGGAAUUUUGGACAAUGGGCGAAAGCCUGAUCCAGCCAUUCCGCGUGCAGGAUGAAGGCCCUCGGGUUGUAAACUGCUUUUGUACAGAACGAAAAGGUUUCUACUAAUACUAGGAGCUCAUGACGGUACUGUAAGAAUAAGCACCGGCUAACUACGUGCCAGCCGCCGCGGUAA
rnacentral:rRNA from 1 species